rnacentral:rRNA from 1 species
CUACGGGGCGCUGCAGUGGGGGAUAUUGCACAAUGGGCGAAAGCCUGAUGCAGCAACGCCGCGUGAAGGAAGACGGUUUUCGGAUUGUAAACUUCUAUCAGCAGGGAAGAAAAUGACGGUACCUGACUAAGAAGCCCCGGCUAACUACGUGCCAGCAGCCGCGGUAAUACGUAGGGGGCAAGCGUUAUCCGGAAUUACUGGGUGUAAAGGGUACGUAGGCGGCUGAUCAAGUCAGAUGUGAAAGCCCGGGGCUCAACCCCGGGACUGCAUUUGAAACUGGUCGGCUAGAGUGCAGGAGAGGAAAGUGGAAUUCCUAGUGUAGCGGUGAAAUGCGUAGAUAUUAGGAAGAACACCAGUGGCGAAGGCGGCUUUCUGGACUGUAACUGACGCUGAGGUACGAAAGCGUGGGGAGCGAACAGGAUUAGAUACCCUGGUAGUC